rnacentral:tRNA from 1 species
GGAGGCGUCGCAUAGUGGCCUAGUGCGCCCGCCUGCUAAGCGGGUUGGGGAUAACACCCCUCGCGAGUUCAAAUCUCGCCGCCUCCGCCG